AUUGCCCUAGUAACGGCGAGUGAAGCGGCAACAGCUCAAAUUUGAAAUCUGGCCUUCUUUGGGGGUCCGAGUUGUAAUUUGCAGAGGGUGCUUUGGUGUUGACAGCGGUCUAAGUUCCUUGGAACAGGACGUCACAGAGGGUGAGAAUCCCGUACGUGGUCGCUUGCCUCCGCCGUGUAAAGCCCCUUCGACGAGUCGAGUUGUUUGGGAAUGCAGCUCUAAAUGGGAGGUAAAUUUCUUCUAAAGCUAAAUACUGGCCAGAGACCGAUAGCGCACAAGUAGAGUGAUCGAAAGAUGAAAAGCACUUUGGAAAGAGAGUCAAACAGCACGUGAAAUUGUUGAAAGGGAAGCGCUUGCAGCCAGACUUGCCCGUAGUUGCUCACCCGGACUUUUGCCCGGGGCACUCUUCUGCGGGCAGGCCAGCAUCAGUUUGGGCGACCGGAUAACGGCCUCUGUCAUGUAUCUUCCUUCGGGAUGACCUUAUAGGGGAGGCGUAAUGCGGCCAGCCCGGACUGAGGUCCGCGCUUCGGCUAGGAUGCUGGCGUAAUGGCUGUAAGCGGCCCGUCUUGAAACACGGACCAAGGAGUCUAACAUCUAUGCGAGUGUUUGGGUGUCAAGCCCGGGCGCGUAAUGAAAGUGAACGGAGGUGGGAACCCUUUCGGGGGUGCACCAUCGACCGAUCCUGAUGUCUUCGGAUGGAUUUGAGUAAGAGCAUAGCUGUUGGGACCCGAAAGAUGGUGAACUAUGCUUGAAUAGGGUGAAGCCAGAAGAAACUCUGGUGGAGGCUCGCAGCGGUUCUGACGUGCAAAUCGAUCGUCAAAUUUGGGCAUAGGGGCGAAAGACUAAUCGAACUAUCUAGUAGCUGGUUCCUGCCGAAGUUUCCCUCAGGAUAGCAGUAACGUAUUCAGUUUUAUGAGGUAAAGCGAAUGAUUAGAGGCCUGGGGGUUGAAACAACCUUCACCUAUUCUCAAACUUUAAAUAUGUAAGAAGUCCCUGUUACUUGAUUGAACGGGGACAUUUGAAUGCACCGUUACUAGUGGGCCAUUUUUGGUAAGCAGAACUGGCGAUGCGGGAUGAACCGAACGCGGGGUUAAGGUGCCAGAAUGCACGCUCAUCAGACACCACAAAAGGUGUUAGUUCAUCUAGACAGCAGGACGGUGGCCAUGGAAGUCGGAAUCCGCUAAGGAGUGUGUAACAACUCACCUGCCGAAUGAACUAGCCCUGAAAAUGGAUGGCGCUCAAGCGUGCUACCCAUACCCCGCCGCUGGGGCAGACAUUAUGCCCCAGCGAGUAGGCAGGCGUGGAGGUCCG
rnacentral:rRNA from 1 species